rnacentral:rRNA from 1 species
GAUGAACGCUGGCGGCGUGCCUAAUACAUGCAAGUCGAGCGAACAGACGAGGAGCUUGCUCCUCUGACGUUAGCGGCGGACGGGUGAGUAACACGUGGAUAACCUACCUAUAAGACUGGGAUAACUUCGGGAAACCGGAGCUAAUACCGGAUAAUAUAUUGAACCGCAUGGUUCAAUAGUGAAAGACGGUUUUGCUGUCACUUAUAGAUGGAUCCGCGCCGCAUUAGCUAGUUGGUAAGGUAACGGCUUACCAAGGCAACGAUGCGUAGCCGACCUGAGAGGGUGAUCGGCCACACUGGAACUGAGACACGGUCCAGACUCCUACGGGAGGCAGCAGUAGGGAAUCUUCCGCAAUGGGCGAAAGCUUGACGGAGCAACGCCGCGUGAGUGAUGAAGGUCUUCGGAUCGUAAAACUCUGUUAUUAGGGAAGAACAAAUGUGUAAGUAUCUAUGCACGUCUUGACGGUACCUAAUCAGAAAGCCACGGCUAACUACGUG